GACGAACGCUGGCGGCGUGCUUAACACAUGCAAGUCGAACGGAAAGGCCCUGCUUGCAGGGUACUCGAGUGGCGAACGGGUGAGUAACACGUGGGUGAUCUGCCCUGCACUUCGGGAUAAGCCUGGGAAACUGGGUCUAAUACCGGAUAGGAGCCAUUUUUAGUGUGAUGGUUGGAAAGUUUUUUCGGUGUAGGAUGAGCUCGCGGCCUAUCAGCUUGUUGGUGGGGUAAUGGCCUACCAAGGCGGCGACGGGUAGCCGGCCUGAGAGGGUGGACGGCCACAUUGGGACUGAGAGACGGCCCAGACUCCUACGGGAGGCAGCAGUGGGGAAUAUUGCACAAUGGGCGCAAGCCUGAUGCAGCGACGCCGCGGGGGGGAUGACGGCCUUCGGGUUGUAAACGCCUUUCGCUAGGGACGAAGCUUUUUGUGACGGUACCUAGAUAAGAAGCACCGGCUAACUACGUG
rnacentral:rRNA from 1 species